AUCUGAGAGUGAUUAAAGAUUUAUUGGUUUAAGAUGGGCAUGCGUGCCAUUAGCUAGUUGGUAGUGUAACGGACUACCAAGGCGACGAUGGCUAGGGGUUCUGAGAGGAUGAUCCCCCACACUGGUACUGAGAUACGGGCCAGACUCCUACGGGAGGCAGCAGUAGGGAAUAUUGGUCAAUGGGUGAGAGCCUGAACCAGCCAUGCCGCGUGCAGGAAGACGGCCUUCUGGGUUGUAAACUGCUUUUGUCAGGGGAUAAAAUUUCCUUGCGAGGAAAAUUGAAGGUACCUGACGAAUAAGCCACGGCUAACUACGUGCCAGCAGCCGCGGUAAUACGUAGGUGGCAAGCGUUGUCCGGAUUUAUUGGGUUUAAAGGGUGCGUAGGCGGCCUAUUAAGUCAGUGCUGAAAUAUUCCGGCUUAACCGGGAGGGCGGCAUUGAUACUGAUGGGCUAGAGUACAGAUGAGGUAGGCGGAAUUGACGGUGUAGCGGUGAAAUGCUUAGAUAUCGUCAAGAACACCUAUAGCGAAAGCAGCUUACUAGGCUGUAACUGACGCUGAGGCACGAAAGUGUGGGGAUCAACAGGAUUAGAUACCCUGGUAGUCCACACUGUAAACGUUGAUUACUCGCUGUGUGC
rnacentral:rRNA from 1 species